CACGGGUCGGAUCUGUUGUGGC
rnacentral:siRNA from 1 species